AUGAGUUUUUCGCAAAGGAUGAAGACAGUAAAUUUCAGAAGAAGUUGCUUGAAGAUAUUUUAGCAGCAUGGGUGAGCUCUCUGUCAAUGGGGAUGAUCUUCUUUUGCUCUCCGAUAGUCAGCGUGUUCACAGACCUGUUUGGUUGCCGAAAAGUAGCUGUUGUUGGCGCAGCAGUGGGGUUUGCUGGACUCCUUUCAAGUUCCUUUGUAAGAAUAAAUUCUAAGAAAUAUAAGAGCAACGGACGUGUUGGACGUACACACUCGAAGAUGAGGAAGCAGGAAAUUUAGUUAUUUAUCUUAGUCAUCAUUAGAAGUUGAGUAGGAAAGAGAGAGUAGGAAAGAGCAGGUGAAUAAACUACAGUUACAUCUACUUAUGUCUGCCCUUUUCCACCCUUACCAGAGUAAGUAGAAGGGCAAUCAGAAGCAAAAUUCAGAAGGGGUUUCAUACGUAGGUGAAAGCAUAUCUGUGAAGAUAGGUUUGCAACAAUGUGGUUUUGUGCCUGUGCUCUGAACCAGAUAAAUGUAAGCUGGCUGUGAUCUGGAAGAUGGAUAUCCAUGCUAUGUGGCACUAUGCCUAACCUGAUACAUCUAGUUUGGGCAUAUCUGUCCUUAUGUGAAAACAUAUUCACAAGUUUACAGGAAGAGAAGACAAAUUUGGGUAGUUCUAGUUUAGGUACUGAGAUUAGUGUU